UCUCAAACUUAGCAGAGAUGCUUUGGUGCCUUCGGGAACUCUGAGACAGGUGCUGCAUGGCUGUCGUCAGCUCGUGUUGUGAAAUGUUGGGUUAAGUCCCGCAACGAGCGCAACCCUUAUCCUUUGUUGCCAGCGGUUCGGCCGGGAACUCAAAGGAGACUGCCGGUGAUAAACCGGAGGAAGGUGGGGAUGACGUCAAGUCAUCAUGGCCCUUACGGCCAGGGCUACACACGUGCUACAAUGGCGCAUACAAAGAGAAGCGACCUCGCGAGAGCAAGCGGACCUCAUAAAGUGCGUCGUAGUCCGGAUUGGAGUCUGCAACUCGACUCCAUGAAGUCGGAAUCGCUAGUAAUCGUAGAUCAGAAUGCUACGGUGAAUACGUUCCCGGGCCUUGUACACACCGCCCGUCACACCAUGGGAGUGGGUUGCAAAAGAAGUAGGUAGCUUAACCUUCGGGAGGGCGCUUACCACUUUGUGAUUCAUGACUGGGGUGAAGUCGUAACAGGGUAAGCCGUA
rnacentral:rRNA from 1 species